rnacentral:rRNA from 1 species
GGGUGCGAUCAUACCGGCGUUAAUGCACCGUAUCCCAUCAGAACUCCGCAGUUAAGCGCGCUUGGGCUAGAGUAGUGCUGGGAUGGGUGACCUCCCGGGAAGUCCUAGCGUUGCACCCU